ACGAACGCUGGCGGCGUGCUUAACACAUGCAAGUCGAACGGAAAGGCCUGUCCUUCCUUGUGUUGGACGGGUACUCGAGUGGCGAACGGGUGAGUAACACGUGAGUGAUCUGCCCCCAACUUGGGUAUAAGCCUGGGAAACUGGGUCUAAUUCCCGAUAGGACUGCAGGGUGGUUCCUGUGGUGGAAAACGAUUUUCUAGUGGUUGGGGAUGAGCUCGCGGCCUAUCAGCUUGUUGGUGGGGUAAUGGCCUACCAAGGCGGCGACGGGUAGCCGGCCUGAGAGGGUGGACGGCCACAUUGGGACUGAGAUACGGCCCAGACUCCUACGGGAGGCAGCAGUGGGGAAUAUUGCACAAUGGGCGGAAGCCUGAUGCAGCGACGCCGCGUGGGGGAUGACGGCCUUCGGGUUGUAAACUCCUUUCGCCCGCGAGGAAGCCGCCUGGUUGGAAGGGUGGUGACGGUAGUGGUAGAAGAAGCACCGGCUAACUACGUG
rnacentral:rRNA from 1 species